GGCGCCCGGAGUUCGCUAGGCUCCGUGGUUGCUUGCCUUGAUUGUGGAGAAACUUGAUUGAAAGUCGGUUUCACAGUGCAAGAUCAAUAGUAAAUAGCAAGUCUAAGCUCAUUGUGGUCGUUGAGCGAAGGAUAUUUAAAUUUCUUUCGCUAACGUCUACGAGAAGGAGGACUAGCUGCGGGACACACAAGGGAAGGCUACCCUUCAAACCCACGAAAUCGACGUCUACUGGUCGUCCCGGUUCUCCGGUCCAUCAGUGGGAAAUCGUUUUCGUCAGAGUGAGCGUACGGCCUGGACAUCCGGACCUUCACUAUAAUCUAUUCAACGUCUAACUCUCCUUUUCAUAUCGCUAUUUGUCAUCAAAAACAGCUAAGUGUCAUUACUCAGGUGAGAAAUCUACAAGGCGGUUUACAGGCUUCCAAGGUGAUGACAGUUGACAUCAAGAAAAUUGGUUGUUGGAAUGUGAGGUCUCUGAUUGAUCGUGAAUCAUCUGAAUGUCCUGAGAGAAGAUCAGCUUUAAUUGCUACUGAACUGCUUCGUCUUGGAAUAGAUGUAGCAGCACUUUCAGAGACUAGACUAAUGACUAACUUAGAUGACUGUAUUUAUAUAUACGUAUUGGAGAGGAGUCGUGAGCUCGAAAACGAGUAGCGAAGAAGAAGAAGAAGAAGAAGUUGACCAAGAUGAUGAUGGCUGGGAUGAUCAUGUAGUCUAGAUGAUGACGACGAUGAUGACGACGACGGUGAUGAUGAUGAUGAUGGUGAUGAUGAUGAUGAUGAUGAUGAUGCUGAUGAUGAUGAUGAUGAUGAUGAUGAUGAUGAUGAUGAUGAUGAUGGUCUAGAUGACAUUGGCAUAGAUGAUACCUGCCUAGAUGAAUACGGCCUAGAUGAUGUCGGUCUACUUGAUGUAGAUGCAGUAGGUGCAGAGCUACCCAUCUCUUUGGUAAUAUGAAAGUUGUUAAUGAUUUUAUGUCGUUGUUCUUGGUUGAUACAGCUGUCUUCACUGAUAUUAAGUAUCUUUCUCACUGCC